UUCACCAACAAUCUCUUACCGUUUCCCUAUCUAAAUGCUACUUUUAAUAAAGACCCCUCCCAAUUUGACACCUACCUAAAUUCAUUUUCACCACACUUGUACAUGGAUCCCUUAAGUAAGUGACAGAUUACUAGUUCUACAAACGAUAAUGCAAAGUCGAUAUUUUAUCGAUAAAAUGAUUUUUCUGUACUUCUUAAGAAAUAAACGUCUAUCGAGUAUAUAUUACUAAAGCCUGUGAGUUUUUUUUCUUGUGAUGUUAUUUUAAUUUAACUUAAACUACAUUACGCUAUGUUUUAUGCAAUAGAACAGUAAAGAGGUUUUCUAUAGGUGAAUUUUUACCUAUGUCAUUCGCGCGUUUGUCAAAUUGACUGAUGUGUAUGUGUACAUAGAGUGAGGUUAAUUUUGGGUUUAUUAUUGUUGAAUAGAUAAGUUUAUUUUGGCAGAGAAGAGAAAACGAGGAUAAACCUUUCUUGCAGAAGAAAAAGACAAGCUAGUGAAAUUGCUGACGUCUCAUAGAGACACAAUAUUAAACAAAAAACGGAUGGGACCACGAACGAAGCCAAAAACAAAGCUUGGAUCCAGUCACAAAUACAUAGUUUUAAUGCGACAGGAACCCUUUACAGUUUCAGGUGGUGCGAGAAAUUGGAAAGACGUGUAAAAACAUGCUGCGCCCAGUCCACCUCAAAUUGAAUUGGUGCAGGAGGAUGAUGAUAAUGUUUGGUACAUCAUAUGAGGACUAAUAUUAAAAUAUUUGUUUAC
rnacentral:lncRNA from 1 species